UGGAACAAUGUAGGUAAAGGAAAUCGACAAAAUGGAUUUAUAACUUCAAGAGAAGGAUUGGCUUUGGUUGGGCUUAGGGGUCUACAGCUUGACCUUCUAGGCUGCUGGCAGUCAGCCUGAGCUACCUGUGCAGCGAGGGCAAGCCCCUGUGUGCCAACUUGGUGAGCAUCAAACAAUUGGCUCAAAACUGGAAUGGACAAAUUGUUUAAUUAAAAUAAAGCAUUGUGAUGGUUUUUAUAGAUGUUGACACAAUAUGAUUUCUACCUAGUUCUUUGAAUGUCAAAGUGAAGGAAUUCAACCAAACGUAGGUAAAUGGCAAGAGUAGCUAUAACUCUCUUAAAGUAGCCAAAUGCCUCAUCAUCUAAUUAGUGAUGCGCAUGAAUGGAUUAAUGAGAUUCCCAUUGUCCCUAUGUACUAUUUAGUGAAACCACAUCCAAGAGAACAAGCUUGG
rnacentral:ncRNA from 1 species